rnacentral:lncRNA from 1 species
ACGGCGAUGGCAUUGGCGCGAGCGUGGCCCUUUUUGAUGGAAGAUAUUGUGACUAGAUUGUUUGAGAACCACAAUCUGUUGCAUACACCGCAACUAUGGCGAAACUCUUAUCGAGGAAGUCCCGCUGGAAGCGCGCCUCCUUUUAUUACU